rnacentral:rRNA from 1 species
UACGACGGGGGCUAGCGUUGUUCGGAAUCACUGGGCGUAAAGGGCGCGUAGGCGGCUUUAUAAGUCGGGGGUGAAAGCCUGUGGCUCAACCACAGAAUUGCCUUCGAUACUGUAGAGCUUGAGACCGGAAGAGGUAAGUGGAACUGCGAGUGUAGAGGUGAAAUUCGUAGAUAUUCGCAAGAACACCAGUGGCGAAGGCGGCUUACUGGUCCGGUUCUGACGCUGAGGCGCGAAAGCGUGGGGAGCAAACAGG